UACGAGGGGGGCAAGCGUUGUUCGGAAUUAUUGGGCGUAAAGGGUGCGUAGGCGGUUUUGUAAGUCUUGUGUGAAAUCUUCAGGCUCAACUUGAAGACUGCACGAGAAACUGCAGGGCUUGAGUGUGGGAGAGGUGAGUGGAAUUCCUGGUGUAGCGGUGAAAUGCGUAGAUAUCAGGAGGAACACCUGUGGCGAAAGCGGCUCACUGGACCACAACUGACGCUGAUGCACGAAAGCGUGGGGAGCGAACAGG
rnacentral:rRNA from 1 species